GGAGAGUUGGCUGAGUGGUCGAAAGCGCUUCACUGCUAACGAAGUAAGCCUGAUAAAGGCUUCAAGGGUUCGAAUCCCUUACUCUCCG
rnacentral:tRNA from 1 species